UCGGAACAAACUUGCUAAGGGUCAUCUCCAUUGUUGGCUAGACUCCAACAAAUCUGUUCUCAAAUACUUAUCUAUACAUACAGUAUAUGGAUCCUGAACACCUUGUUAACAUUUCAAUACAGAUUUCCAUACAUUUUACAGAAAAUUCUGACAGUACAACUGUUUUCAGAUAAGUGAUUCCCUGAUCCGAGUCUUUCGAUGGAAAUAAUUGUAUGUAAAAAGUACCCAAUCGGCCUAUAAACUAGAUAAGUCAAUCAGAGCUGUCCAUGCAUCUCGAAUCCUAGGGUCUGUAUAUUGUAACAUUCGCCUAUCGCUGCACUGAAAGAAAUUGGCGGUACAGACUACACACGUGUGCACGUGUGUGGCUUCACGGUUUGUUUAUCUUCCCCUAUGUGAGGUGAACACAAAGAUGUGCCCUACAGUAUCUCCCUACUGUUGUAUUACAUAUAACAAUGACACUCUGGAACCAGCCCCACAUGGCCCCUAUAAUGAGGACUGUGGGAACUCCACAUGCUCCAGAUUGGGCAGCACUGGCACACACAGGAGGCUAGGAGUCUCAAGAGGCCACACUCAGCAGGGCAUUUACAAGCUGAUGGAGAUCUCUUUGUGAUGGACAACAAGUCGCAAAAAAAAAAUUGACAAUCAAGCAAGAGAGAUGCAGAUAAUAAAUAUUAGACAUAUGAGUGUUACCAGAAGUGACGGACAAGCGUAAAUGAUGAACUGGUUAAGAGGUAGACAUGCUAAAACAUCCCGUGCUGUGGACAGGUGAUUUCAAUAGGGGAAAGGGUGCAUAGUCAUUUGAUGCUGCUUAGUAUGUAAAAAUGUUCAAUACAAUUUUUAGAUAUUACUACAAUAGUAUACAUCAUACAGUAGCUCAAUGAACAGCCUAAUAACCAAUACAUGGGUAUAGGCCAACCUAGGUUACACAUAAGCCAAUAGUCCAGGCAUUUAACCCAACAAAACGUGCAGUACAAAUUAUUGAUCCAAUCAUGUUAAUGUAAAUAAGAGUGUUCAUUACAAUAAAAUUUUCUAUUGAUUAGUUGACGAUAGGCCUAUCACGAGAUUUGUUUAAAAGCACAGAUUUAAGAGUUACUUCCCGAGAUUUUUAUCGUUAUUGACAAAACUAUUUAUUUAACCUGUCAUAUAUUCAUUCAUCAAUCUGUUUAGUUAAUAAUUACUUUGAUUUGACGUUUUAUUCCAUAAGUAUUCAAUGUAAUCAAUAAUUUUUUAAACUGAAUAACUGAAUAAAAACAAAAUAAGUGGUAAAAUCAGAAAGAUUCUACUGUUUCUGUCGCGAAUGAACACAUUAUUUUCCUACGAGGUUGUGCGCUACCUGAGCAAAUCAGCUGAGCCAAUUUAUCAUACCUUAUCAACAGGUAAUAUUUACAAUCUGGAGAUAAGGGAAACCGCGGGAAUUACGUGUUGAUAUCACUCCACGUUGAGAUUUUCCGAUGUCAGAAUGUUAUUAUUUUAAAGAAAAUCAGAGAAAUCUUAAAAUCAAGAAGUAAGAAUGAGUCACGCAGUGUAAAAACACUCAAAGCUGUGUGCAGUGACGGGAGAAGUUUCAAAAUGGCUGCCAAAAAUCGGGGCUGUUCGCUUUGUGUCGGUAUGCGGCGAGUAUGUAGCUUACUUCCCACACAACAGCCCAGAAUUUGGUCACAAUCAUUAGAAAUUAGCAAAAACUAAAAUUUGGUAUAACAAAAUAUGAGUUUAAAAGAAUUUUAGUAACUUUUACGAAGUGAAUUGCUAGUGUUAUUUUUAGUCCAAAACUUUUGGUAGACAUGUUCCCCUCAAUGUGGGCCAGGCCCAAGUAGGAUGCACCAUCAGAAUUAAUAGACACACGAGUAAAUUCCAAUACGUUUUGCGUCCGUAUUAAAUCAUAUUAUCACUCCGAAUUAUCAAUAACAAUUUCUGCAAAAUUUGUGGCGAGAUACACCAAGAAAUUCGCACGUUUUCAAGCUUCACGUAA
rnacentral:lncRNA from 1 species